AUCCACACGACUCUCGGCAACGGAUAUCUCGGCUCUCGCAUCGAUGAAGAACGUAGCGAAAUGCGAUACCUGGUGUGAAUUGCAGAAUCCCGCGAACCAUCGAGUCUUUGAACGCAAGUUGCGCCCGAGGCCUCUUGGUUGAGGGCACGCCUGCCUGGGCGUC
rnacentral:rRNA from 2 species